rnacentral:rRNA from 1 species
AGUGAACGCUGGCGGUAGGCCUAACACAAGCAAGUCGAACGGCAGCACAGGAGAGCUUGCUCUCUGGGUGGCGAGUGGCGGACGGGUGAGGAAUACAUCGGAAUCUACUUUUUCGUGGGGGAUAACGUAGGGAAACUUACGCUAAUACCGCAUACGACCUACGGGUGAAAGCAGGGGAUCUUCGGACCUUGCGCGAUUGAAUGAGCCGAUGUCGGAUCAGCUAGUUGGCGGGGUAAAGGCCCACCAAGGCGACGAUCCGUAGCUGGUCUGAGAGGAUGAUCAGCCACACUGGAACUGAGACACGGUCCAGACUCCUACGGGAGGCAGCAGUGGGGAAUAUUGGACAAUGGGCGCAAGCCUGAUCCAGCCACACCGCGUGGGUGAAGAAGGCCUUCGGGUUGUAAAGCCCUUUCGUUGGGAAAGAAAUCCAGCUGGUUAAUACCCGGUUGGGAUGACGGUACCCAAAGAAUAAGCACCGGCUAACUUCGUGCCAGCCGCCGCCGUAA